GACGAACGCUGGCGGCGUGCUUAACACAUGCAAGUCGAACGGACAGACAGAGAGCUUGCUCUCUUGAAGUUAGUGGCGAACGGGUGAGUAACGCGUAAUCAACCUGCCCUUCAGAGGGGGAUAACAACGGGAAACCGUUGCUAAUACCGCGUACGAUUCAUGAACGGCAUCGUUUAUGAAUGAAAGGUGGCCUCUAUGUAUAAGCUAUCGCUGAAGGAGGGGAUUGCGUUUGAUUAGCUAGUUGGUGGGGUAACGGCCCACCAAGGCAAUGAUCAGGAGCCGGUCUGAGAGGAUGAACGGCCACAUUGGGACUGAGACACGGCCCAAACUCCUACGGGAGGCAGCAGUGGGGAAUCUUCCGCAAUGGACGAAAGUCUGACGGAGCAACGCCGCGUGAGUGAUGAAGGUCUUCGGAUUGUAAAGCUCUGUUAAUCGGGACGAAAGAGUUCUGCGUGAAUAAUGCAGAAAAGUGACGGUACCGGAAUAGAAAGCCACGGCUAACUACGUGCCAGCAGCCGCGGUAA
rnacentral:rRNA from 1 species